AUGCUCACGCGCUCGAACUACAACGAGUGGGCGUUGAUCAUGGAGUGCAACCUCCAUGCCGCGAGCCUCUGGGUGCCCAUGGAGGACGACCUGGUCGAGAGAAAGGAGGACAGGAAAGCCGUGGCGGCGCUUAUGCGCGCCACGCCGCCGGAGAUGCGCGGCAUGCUCACGGCGAAGGCAAGCGCCAAGGAGGCGCUUAUGCGCGCCACGCCGCCGGAGAUGCGCGGCAUGCUCGCGGCGAAGGCAAGCGCCAAGGAGGCAUGGGAAGCCAUCCGUACCCAGCGCCUCGGCAGCAACCGCGUGCGCGAGGCGAACGUGCAGAAGCUGCGGGCGGACUUCGAGAACAUCGCCUUCAAGGAGGGCGAGCACGUCGACGACUUCGCCAUGCGGAUCUCCAGCGUUGCGUCACAACUCCGAGCGCUCGGCGACACUAUGGACGACGCGAGAGUCGUGCGGAAAUUUCUCCGUGUCGUGCCACCUCGCUUCGCUCAGGUAGCGGUCUCCAUCGAGACCUUGCUUGACCUGAGUGAGCUCUCCAUAGAGGAGCUCACGAGCCGGUUGCGGGUGGUCGAGGAACGCCUUGAGGACGGCCGUGAGAGCUUCGGUGGAGAACAACUCCUGUUGUCGAAGAAGUGGGAGGCGAGGAAGCGUCAAGGACGUGGUGGAGGUGCGCCGAGCAGUGGAGGCGGCAUCGGCAGAGGCGGCGGUCGCACCCAGGGCGGAGCCGGACGAGGUGCCGGCAACGAUGACCGGGACAAGUGCCGAUAUUGCAGCAUCAAGGGCCACUGGGCCCGUGAGUGCCGCAGGAGGAUGGCUGACGAGGAUGCCGCAGCCGCGGCGAACCUCGUCCAGGCUGAAGAGGACGGUGGGCCAGCAAUGAUGAUGGCUUGCGUCGAGACCAUGCAGGAGGGCCCAGCGCCUCCGGAGACCAUGGUCUCGACAAGCAUCGAAGCCGUGCAGGAGGGUGCAGCACCUCCGGCGACCACGGUGCCGGCAACCGUUAAGUCCGUGCGGGAGGCACAGAGCUGUUCAACUGAUCCCGUCCCAACAUCGGUAGCGCUUUCCCUGACAACAGCGUUCUCGGGGGCCUACGAUUGGGAGGAGAUGAAGACCCGGGUGUGGGGGAGCCACACCCUGGCAACCACGUCCCUUGUGACGCCGUCAAGCCCGUGCAAGUUGGCACGGCAAUCGCGGCCCCGACAUCCUCGGGACCAAACAAGCCCGUGUCAGGAGGCACGACAACGACGCAUAUGGUGGGCCACGUCCCAACCAUGA
rnacentral:rRNA from 1 species